GAAAUGCUAUAAGUAAUGUGAAUUGCAGAAUUCAGUGAAUCAUCGAAUCUUUGAACGCACAUUGCGCCCGCCAGUAUUCUGGCGGGCAUGCCUGUUCGAGCGUCAUUACAACCCUCAGGCCCCCGGGCCUGGCGUUGGGGAUCGGCGGAAGCCCCCUGCGGGCACAACGCCGUCCCCCAAAUACAGUGGCGGUCCCGCCGCAGCUUCCAUUGCGUAGUAGCUAACACCUCGCAACUGGAGAGCGGCGCGGCCACGCCGUAAAACACCCAACUUCUGAAUGUUGACCUCGAAUCAGGUAGGAAUACCCGCUGAACUUAAGC
rnacentral:misc_RNA from 1 species